AUUGAACGCUGGCGGCAGGCCUAACACAUGCAAGUCGAGCGGAGCGGCGGACGGGUGAGUAAUGCCUAGGUAUCUGCCUGGUAGUGGGGUAUAACGUCCGGUAACGGGCGCUAAUACCGCAUACUAUCAGAUGAGCCUAGGUCGGAUUAGCUAGUGGGGGGGGUAAAGGCCUACCAGGGCGACGAGCCGUAACUGGUUUGAGAGGCUGAUCAGUCACACUGGAACUGAGACACGGUACAGACUCCUACGGGAGGAAGUAGUGGGGAAUAUUGGAAAAUGGGCGAAAGCCUGAUCCAGCCAAGCCGCGUGUGUGAAGAAGGGCUUCGGAUUGUAAAGCGCUUUAAGUUGGGAGGCGUUAUCAACAGAAGAAGCACCGGCUAACUUCGUGCCAGCAGCCGCGGUAAUUC
rnacentral:rRNA from 1 species